rnacentral:lncRNA from 1 species
GCUUUGGGCCCUGGGUAUUCAAUUAACACGAUGGCAAUGAAUUGCUGUUUGCCUUCUGCUUACUUUGGCGAGAUGUCGUCUGAUCCCCAUAGUUUGUGCUCUUGAAUGCACUGCAACGAUUAAUGGUAUGUAUCAUUUGGGCUCAUAUUUUUUUCUGGGUAGCAUAAGUUAAUUCAUGUUCGUUGGAGCAUGACAUUUUUUACACCAAUACAUUUCACAUUUCAU